AUUGAACGCUGGCGGCAGGCCUAACACAUGCAAGUCGGGCGAGUGGCGGACGGGUGAGUAAUGUAUGGCGAUCUGCCUGAUGGCGGGGGAUAACUACUGGAAACGGUAGCUCAUACCGCAUACCAUCAGAUGAACCAAUAUGGGAUUAGCUUGUUGGUGGGGUAACGGCUCACCCAGGCGACGAUCCCUAGCGGGUCUGAGAGGACGACCAGCCACACUGGGACUGAGACACGGCCCAGACUCCUACGGGAGGCAGCAGUGGGGAAUUUUGGACAAUGGGGGAAACCCUGAUCCAGCCAUCCCGCGUGUAUGAAGAAGGCCUUCGGGUUGUAAAGUACUUUCGGCGGGGAGGCGUUACCCGCAGAAGAAGCACCGGCUAACUACGUGCCAGCAGCCGCGGUAAUUC
rnacentral:rRNA from 1 species